CGGGCAAUGUGCUGGCAUCCACCUUGGCCAAAUCCAAAUACCAUUAGAUUUGAUUACUCAUAAUUUUUUAUUAAACCAUAUAUAUAUUAGUUCAAUUAUGAUUUGAUGAAAUCAUCUUGCUCAGACUGAUUGAGAUAUUGGGCAGUGCACUAGCUUCCACCUUAGCUUUUAUGAGAUCAUGUUAGAUUUGGUCAUUCUUGAUUAUGGUGUCACUACAAGAAA
rnacentral:lncRNA from 1 species